CUCGCUGGACAAGGGAAACACCUCCACAGCUCUCUAAGCACAGCUCUUAAUGUUUUUAGCUGGUUGCAGCCUGGGCUAAUCCCAUGUGGGUUUCUCACCUUGAGCCAGAGGUCGCUCAGGCUGGCUGUGCUGCUCUGAAGUCUGGAUUCAUUCUUUUGGGACUCGUUGUUACUGAAGUCAGGAUUUUUGGGCUAGCAAUAACUUCCUAUAAAAUUGGAGGGAGCAAUGUAAAAACCCUGCAGGAGAGGAUUUCAUUUUCUAUUAAACUCCAGAAGGCUUCUCCAGGAGGGGCUGAAGCCAUCGCAGGGACGUUUCCCCUUGGGACCACUGGCUUCCUCUGCACAGGACCCCCAGCAUGUGGCAAUUCUGCAAAAUGAGGAAGGAGAACUGGAGAGCCGAGGAGCCCACCCUUUGUUCCUGCUGUUCCCACACCCCGAGCACUGGCACACGGCGGCUGCUGGCCUCAGAUGCGUUCGGACGAGCUCAUGUGAAUCCUGUGCUAACCCUGUUUGUCACCCUGUGCGUCUCUUUGCUUCCCAUCAGACUUCUUCUCUCUUUUCUCAGCUCAAGCACAUCUGUGUAGGGUUAAUCCACUUUCCCACCCACCCCUAAUCUUCCACCUCACUGUGUUCCGUGUUUUUCAGUGUAAUUGGUCCCAGCAUAUCACACACAACCACCAUCCCUCUCCCCUAACUCCAAUAAGAGCUCAUACACCAGCAAAGUAAUCUUUCCCACCUGGGCCACUCCCGUGGUUUCAUAUCACUUAAUCCUCCCUCGUGAGCUGAGGAAGAGUUUAAGGUAACAUCUGCUCAGCUUUAUAUUUGUUGUGUUCGUACCGAUGGUCCCUUGGUUCCCAUUGCCAAGCAAGUAAGGGGAACGUCUCGGUGAGAGUCCCACAUUUUCUGGGAGAUAACAAAUUCUGCCGGGCGAACCCUGCUAUUAGAGACCCCAUUAAAAUCAAGGACGUAGGUUCAGUAAAUUUACUCUUCCAGCCUGCUGUGCUUAUUCCGCUUGCCUAUUUUCCCCUUGAGUUUCUUCCUGGAUUAAUUUCCUCCCUGCUCCCUCCCUGUCACUGACGGGCUGUGAGCAAGGAACCGAGCCCCUUCCCCUCAUCAAGCCGCAGGCUCGUGCCUUCCUGCAGCUGGCAGCGGCUGCCUGUCGGCCUCGCUGCUCAGCCUUGAUGCAGGUCUUCUGCUGGAAGGAGCCACCUUGCUGCUUGGCAAUCGCUGCUCCUCAAAAUCAGGGAGCAUCCUCACGUGGCGCCCCACCAACUCCUCCUGGGAAAGCCCUGGGAGCUACAAAGUGUUUGAGGGACCUGCUAGAUGCCAGGGACUUAUCUGAAGGUCACCUCCUCUGUGAUACUGCUGGUGUGGGGGGAGCUAAGGGAUGCCUUUCUGAAUAGCUCUCCUCCGUGCUCUCCUAUGGCACGCAAAGCUCAUUCACCUCUGCAGUAUGCUGCUGCGCUCCUUGAAGUGAGCCAUCAUUUCAUUUUCGGUGACUUCCUAAUGUGUUUAUUCCUUUCUUCCCAAGCAGCAGCGCAGGCAUUGCUGCAUUUGGCAGAGGAACAAAGCCUCAUUGUUCAAAGCCUGCAUGCUCCAGCAUCAGCUGGGACAAACACGAUCGCGCUCCUAGACCUCAGCUUCCAAAGCCAGCCGGACAAAGAGCAAAAAGGCUCAAAAUCCCACGUUAGAUAAAAAAAAAAAAAAAAAAAAAAAAACACCUCACCUUUAUCUCACCUCUAAAGGACUCUGUCAAGCCCAGCUUUUUAUCUGUUCUUUCUUUUGUUAGUAACACCUCUUCAGAAGCCCAAAUAUAGCACCUCUUCUUCUAGUGAGGAAGAAGAGAUGUCUACCUGGCCCUGGGUGCUGUGCUUGCUGCUACGUCCUGCUCAGGGACAGCCCCAGGGAGGGCUCAGGGUCAGGCAGCAUUGGUUUUGGAGCAGUCACACAAGGCAAACCCAGUAUUUUUAUUAUUAUUAUUAUUAUUUUUUUUUCCAGCAGUGUGGCAGAAAAAGCCUUCCCCCAGGCUCUCAUCCCUGAGGUUGCAAAUACUGAGGCAGGUGCUGGGGGUGAUCCCUUGGCUCCUGUGCAGCUCCAUCCCGGUGCCCGCCCAGAGAUGCACAAGCCUGGGAGGCUGUGGGGGGCUGCUCCUUGUCCUGCUGCUGGGAUAUUUUCCAUGGUUUGUUUCUUCCCCUUCUCUCUGUGCCAGUUCUAGCUGCAAGGUGCCUGCUGACUUCUUGGGAAGCUGUCGGGUGACUUGCUAUAAAAAGUGCUCAGGAAUCCUGCCCUGAAUUUGAGCUGCAUUUUUACCUUUUUUUAUUUUACAUCCCUAGUUUUAAUUAUACAUUUUCUCACACUAAAGAACAUUCAUUUAUCUCAACAUCUUUGGGAUGAUUUGGACUAUAAUAUUUUCCCAUUGUCUGUCGCUGCUACAGCUGAUGGAUAAACAGAUAUAUUAGCCUGAAACUGGCUUUUAAUCAACUGAAACAAGCAAUGCUAAUAUAAAAUACUUUACACCAAUACACAGGCUGAUUUUCCUGUCAUAAAUAUGCCUGGAAAAAAGGGCACCUUUUCUGACGUGCUUAUCUACACUUCAGAAGCAUGGACCUGGUGUUACCUUGUCACUGUUUACCUAUAUAUUUUUUCCCUUUAAGCCAGUCUGCUCAGCCUCCCAUUAUUCCUGCUGGUUCCUCUGCUCCUCCUGGAUCUGGUCUGCCAGUCACUCUGGCCAGGGGGUAUCCAAAAUGGAAGAUUGCACAAGAGUGAUGAGACAGUUUCUUAUCUCUCUGCCCUAGGAUAUGUCAUGCAGCCCAAAAUUGUCCUGAGAUUCUUGCUGUUGACGUGACAAAUUGCAAACUCACGUCCAAUUUCCUGCGUGCUAACCCUGCAAAGUCUUUCACUGCAUUUGGGUCUCCUCCUCCCAUAGGGUGUCUUAAUUUUGGAAUAUUUCCUCCCUGGACAUAUUAGUCUGCGUGUCCUUCAAUCUAGGGCAUUUUCUCCCUAUGUCCCACAUCUUUCUUUCUUUCAUUCCUUCUCUUUCUCUUUUUUUUUUUUUUUCUUUUCUUGUCCUUUUGUGUUAUAUUCCACUCCUUGCCUGUGAUUGCAUCCUCCCCAAUGUAGUAUCAAUUGCAGUUUUAAUAAACAUGCUGUCUAAUGCUUUUUCUAGAUCAUUAAUGAAGAUGGUAAAUAAAACUUGAGCUAACA